rnacentral:rRNA from 1 species
UGCGUAGGGGGCUAGCGUUGUCCGGAAUCAUUGGGCGUAAAGAGCGUGUAGGCGGCUCGGUAAGUCCGCUGUGAAAGUCCAGGGCUCAACCCUGGAAUGCCAGUGGAAACUGUCGAGCUAGAGUCCGGAAGAGGCGAGUGGAAUUCCUGGUGUAGCGGUGGAAUGCGCAGAUAUCAGGAGGAACACCGAUGGCGAAGGCAGCUCGCUGGGACGGUACUGACGCUGAGGCGCGAAAGCGUGGGGAGCGAACAGG